UGUCAAAAUUUAUAUAAAACUUUGUCCAAUCUCGUAUCAAACUAAAUGCAAGAUAGCAAUAUUGUAAUUUAAUUGGUAUUUUAAGUAAAUAGAUAUGGAGAGUAUUUUAGCAAGUUAAAAUAAUCCAUCCAUAUUUUUAAUACUUAAUUAAGUUCAUUUGCUAAAUUACCCUUGAUCCACGUAAAGAUAAUAAGAUAUUUUAAGGGAUUAUGUGUAAACAUUUUGAAAACUAAUCUUUCCUUAUAAUUUUUAGAAAAAAUGAGGGACUACAACGUUAAUAACCAAACAAUUAAAUCCUGCCGUUGAAAAGGUUUUAGUUGAAUUUAAUGGUUGAUCAUAAAAAGACGGUACCGAAUCAUGAAUGCAUAGUAGCUGAACCCUAUAAGUAGGCUCAUUAGCUGAUUUGAUUGGCCAAUAGAUAAUGCGGUGAAUUCUGAUGCAAAUAUUGGAAUUGAAAUAAGUUGAGAGGUCAAUAUUGUGCUUUGGAACAUUUAGGUAUCAUUAUCAUUCCUUGGAACACUAAAAUUUCUUGGGGCUACAGCCAGAUACUUUUUAAGAUGGAAAAUUUAGAAAAAUAAAAGAUUAAAACAAACUCUAAAAUGCUGUAAUGAUAGUUAUACAGCUUGUUUAAAAAAUUACGACAAAAAUGUAUAUUUUAAAACGAAAACUUGAUUGGACAAGGAGGGCAGCAGAGUGAUCAUGCACCCAAUGACAGAUAAAAAUUGGGGUACACGAAAAGUCCAGAAGAAAUAAUAAAACUAAACCAUUUGCAUUCAUUUCUUGUUGAAACUGAGAACAUCAAUGGCUUUUAACAAGAGACCUCAACCCAAUGCGUCUCAUUUCUUCAAGAUUAUACUUCCCUAUUCCAUUGAAGAAAAGAAGCUGGUAAUUAAUUCUUAUCAUUUCUCUGCAGAUAUUUUUAGUUAAUUUUAUCAGUUUUCAUAUGUUUCUUCCAUUGUUUGUAGGUUCAUUCAUAAGUUUCAUAUGUUGAACAGAGUCUUGCACCAUGCACGUUCUUUUAAAUAUUUCUUAUUUGAUCUGCUACACGAUUGAUUGUAAUAGCUAGACUUUUCAGAUUAAUUUAGCUCACGAAUUAUGAGGCAAAAAAUUGUCUUCUUCAAUUUUCAAAGUGGAGGAAGUGGGAUUCAUUAUGUGGGGUAUGAAUAACAGUGAAAUGAGUGAAUUUUUUUUUGCUUUAUUUGGCUUUACUUCACUACCAACCCCUUUUAAUUUGCAUAAUAUCAUUAUAAAAAAUCCUUGGUUCCCUUGUUUUCUAGUUUCUAUUAAUAACAUCUUUUGUAUUGAUGACAUUAAAUUCAGUUCCAUUGUUCUAUUGGUUCUUGGACUCAUCUUCUUGUUUCUAUGUCAUUCAUGUAUGCUCACUGAAUUUACCAUAUGCAAUAUCACGAUGAAAGCAUUUUAAAAUGAUAUUGCUGAUUUGAUUGUUUUAGCUGGACUUUUAAAAUUACUUUGCAUGCGGGAGAUUGAAUUGAACCUAAAUGGCAUCUUGUUUGCUGAUAUGAUACUGCUGAUUGCUUGUUUCUGUAUUUCUUUUAUUUUUUUUUCCUUCAUAUUAUUAUUAAUACAUGCACUUGUUGAAGUUCAAACUAGGAACUUGAGUCCUGAAAGGCUAUUCUUUAUUCCUUAUCAUUGGAGCUAGACUUUGGCUUCAAAUUGUUUUUAUAUUGUUGAUCUAAUGUUACUUGUAUAAAUGUAGAGGAUUCCAAAAAACUUUGUGAAAAGGUUCGGACAUGAACUUUAUAAUGCUGCUAAUGGGACAAGUAAUAUUUGGUUUCACCAUGGUUGGUAUAUGACUUCAUCAAAUCUUAUUCAAUCUCUGCCUGAUACUUUGGGGUCUUCAAUUACGUGAAGAGCACAACUUUUCAUGCUCUUAUACUUGAUGUGACCGCUUGCGAGAUUAAUUAUCCAUAUGAGAGUGAUGAAUCUAAAAAUGAAGAGUUGGUGGUGGAGAGAAAUGAAUCAGAUGAUGAUUGAUGAAUUUGACUUGUGGGCUUCACUUGAAGAAAUGGGAAUGUGUAUUGCAAGAAAAGAAGGAACUCUUGCCAGAUCAUUGAGGCCAAGAUAUCCUUCAUUCAUGGUUAUCUUGCAAUCAAGUGACAUUACUCAUGAUGCUGUGGUGAGCUGCUUGUUGUUAUUGUUUUUUUUUCCCCCCAAUUAAAUGUGAUAACAAAUAUUAAUUACUUUUGACACGCAUUCGUUUUCUUAAUUAGUUGCAUUUUUUUUUUCAUUUUAUUUUAUUUGUCCGGUAUGUUCCAGGAGAAAUCCCUAACGAAUUUUUGAGUAGGGAUGUCAAAUCCAUCAAAAUUGAAGUUGAUAAAAAAGGAGAGCGAACUCUGUUAAUCAAUUGGUCAUGUUUGGGAGUUAAGAUUAAGCAUGUGAUUGGAUUAACUUUGGGAUUAAAUAUUUUAUCCCAUGUUUGGGUAUUUGCUUGGAUUGAAUUAGGGAGGACUAAAUUUAAAUUUAGUCCUUAAAUCAUGGGAUUAACAAUCCCAAUUUAUAAGUGGGUUUAGAUGGGAUUAGGAUAAGAGAAAAAGAUUUACUCAUAUUUCUUUCAUAAAUAACACUAUUUUUUACUUGUAACCUAAAAUUUAUUUAAUUAAUUAAUUAUUUUAUUCAUGAUUCACUUGAAUUUAUUUUUUAUUUUAUUUUUAUAGUCUAAUUAAAUUGGUACUUUUACUCCAAUAAAAUUAACUAUUUAAUAAUUCGUUAUAAUAAUUGAUUGUAUUAAAUUUAAUAAUCACCAAUGUAAUAUUAAAAAUAAUCAUGAAAA
rnacentral:lncRNA from 1 species